GUGGGGAAUAUUGGACAAUGGGCGAAAGCCUGAUCCAGCCAUGCCGCGUGUGUGAAGAAGGUCUUCGGAUUGUAAAGCACUUUAAGCGAGGAGGAGGCUACCGAGAUUAAUACUCUUGGAUAGUGGACGUUACUCGCAGAAUAAGCACCGGCUAACUCUGUGCCAGCAGCCGCGGUAAUACAAAGGGUGCAAGCGUUAAUCGGAUUUACUGGGCGUAAAGCGCGCGUAGGUGGCCAAUUAAGUCAAAUGUGAAAUCCCCGAGCUUAACUUGGGAAUUGCAUUCGAUACUGGUUGGCUAGAGUAUGGGAGAGGAUGGUAGAAUUCCAGGUGUAGCGGUGAAAUGCGUAGAGAUCUGGAGGAAUACCGAUGGCGAAGGCAGCCAUCUGGCCUAAUACUGACACUGAGGUGCGAAAGCGUGGGGAGCAAACAGGAUUAGAUACCCGGGUAGUCC
rnacentral:rRNA from 1 species